UGGGGUUGGAGCUGGAUGAGCUUUAAGGUCCUUUUCAGCCCAAACCAGUCUGGGAUUGUCUGAUUCAUUGGCAUGUCCAGCUGGUUCCUGUGGAGUUCUUCACCUGGCAGGAUGGACAGUGAAGGACCCAUUCUGAGGUAUUUUCAGUGUGCACUGAGGCAGGGUGUUUGGGACUAUGGAUUUAGGCAAAGACGCAGUGCAGUGCUCAGCACCGCAACAGCCAGGCCCGUUACUGAAUCUGGCCUUCCUGCAAUAAGUGUGAGUAAUGGGAAGAGAGGCAUGAGAGCAGAAUGACUGUACAGGAGCUGCACUUGUCUUGCUAGAAUGGAAAACAUCUUUGUAAAGGGGUAAAAUUAGCGCUGGGUACAAGAAUGCCAUUUCAUGAAACAAAUGACUACACCUCUUCCCAGUGGCAGGAGCAAAGUGACACAUCCCUGUCCCGCUCCCAGGGCUGCUGCACAGUAGCCAGGCUGGGAUGAGGAGUGGAUCCCAGUGCUGAGGGACCCUGGCCAUCCACCUCAGUAUGGUUUGUGAUGAGAGAUGUCUUCCUCGGGUAUGGGGAGAGCAGGGCAGGAGGAUGUAUGUUUGAGACAUGGGAUGUGGUCUAUUUGAGAUGUGCAGUUGCUUCUGAGGUGUUCGUGGUAGCAAAGUCACAGAAAAAACUGAAUAAAAUCGGGUAUCUCCUUACUAGAGGCUCUUUUAUCUCCUAUUUGUUGUAUUUUACUUCUCUCUGCUGUAUUUUUCCUUUCUUUUUGUCUCUUAAUGCCUUCCACUCUAUAGUUCUACAUCCUUAUUUAUUAUCCACGUUUGUUUACUGCUGCUUUUUUCCUCAUGCAUGUCUUUACUGCUUUAGCUUUCCUGUAUCACAGAGUCAUAAUGGUUAGGGUUGGAAAGGACCUUAAACCCCUUUCUCUUUUGUCUCUCUUGUGAUCUGCCAUCCAGUUUGGCCACCUCCGUGCGAUGGAGCAAUGUACCUGGUGGGCUGAGUGAGGCUUGCAUCACCUCCCUGAACCAGAUUGCAUCUGCGGUCAGCUGGAAGUGACUACAUGCCUGAACUGACAAAAGAUGCUGUGGAAACACAGAUCUCUGGGGCAAGAUGCUUUUGCUGUAUCCUGUCUCUUUAUUGCCUGAUCCCCUGGAAGACACAAGAGUGAGAAUCAGUGGUGUGUCCUUACCCUGCAAACACUCUGAGAACUGCUUUGACAGCUAACAGAACCAAAUAGUGGAUGUAGCCACAGCAAGCUCCUGCUCUUUCUACCAAGUUACAACUGCUCUGCGAUCCAAAGGAGUGAUGCUUGAACCUCCCUCUGAUCCACUGUGUUCUUUUCUCUGACUGUAGCAGCACUGUUUCUUUCCAACACACAAUGUUCAUGCAAAAAUGCAGAUUGAAGCAGGUUUCCUACUUUAAUCUUAAGGAAUUAAGGAAAAUUAAGAAGAGGUGAGCUAGAUCACUGUGAGGAUAGAUGCCUCCUGUUGUGGAAUAGAACGAAAUCCAGUGCCAUGCUCCCUACCAUUAGACCUGAUACAACUGCUGUUAUGACCAAGAGUCAUACAGCAAGAGUCUCAAAAUCAACCAUAAACCUAUGGGUCAGGCAAUAAGUGACUUGACAUUUCUCAUUGCAGAGUGAUAGUUUCAUGCCUUUAAUCUGCAUCACUGCAGGCAGUGUAUUAUUGAAUCCAGUGAGGUUUGAAUCCCACUAUGAAUUUCAUUGUUUUCCACAAGUGGAUUAUGAAGAGAAACCUUUGAUAUCUAUUAAUUGUGUGUCUCUGAGUGAAAGGCUAUUGUAUGUAUAUAUGUAUUUCGUAACAGGAAAUGUAACAAACAUCUAUUUUUAUUACAUUAAUAAACCAGAUAAACCUA